rnacentral:lncRNA from 1 species
AAAAAAAUCAAAAUUAAUAUAGCAUAAAUUUGGUAUUUUUUUGUGGCACAUUGCAUUUGUGCCAAUUUUUAAAGAAUACAGUAUUUGAAUGUAUUUCUUUUCCAGCAAAAAAUAAAUACUACUUUUGGUCCAUUUUACAGGAAAGUUUAAAUAUAUAUUAUAUCCAGAAUAAAUGGCCAGUAGUACAAAUCCCCCAUAUAUAUUAUAUCCACAAUAAUAGGCCAGUAGUACAAAUCCCCCCAAAUGGAUAAUAAUGUGAGUCAAAUUUGUAUGGUCACACAUAGGUUAUCUAAUGCAAAGCAAGAAUAACAACAGGAGUGGACAGUAAAAUAUUUAUAAAGACAAUGAAUGUACACUUCCAUAGUGUAGACCAGCAAGCAUUAAGAAUCAGAAAAUAUCUGGG